rnacentral:lncRNA from 1 species
UUUAAUCUCACUAGAAGUUAAAAGCAUGAGUAAAUCACGUAUUAUUCUGAAAGGAUUAACACCUUACCAAUUAACAGUUUUAACAACAAAUUUAACAGGUGUUGUUAUAUAGAUACAGACCAAGAGAAUAACUUUGUUUUCCUAGACACGUAGGAGUGAUGAGACUUGUGAAAGCAUGGAUGAAAUCUUAGUGCCCUGGAAGUCAAUGACAGAACUUCCUAGUGUGCCAGUACUCAGACUUUUGAACAAAUUAAGUGCCCAAAUCCCAGUAUGCAUACCUUAGGUUUUUUUUUGUUUUGUUUUGUUUUUUUUUAGUAAAUAUCAUAGAACCUCUGAGCUGAAAUGUAAUCUUUUUUUUCUCUUUCAUUUCAGGAGGUGAUAUAUAAAUAAAUCUGAGAACUGGAGAUGAUGAUGCCAGACAGAAUAUUAAUAAAAUCUCCUUACUCCUGCUUCUACCAUAUCUCUGGAGGUAAAGAAGAGAAUUUAGCUGCGUACCAGUUGCACACAAACUACUCCCUACUGCCAAAUGUUACAGACAAGAAGUUGCCAGGAAAGCAGUGCAUCUCAAGAAUGGCGGAAGCGGAGGUCUGUGUGGACAAAACCUGCACUCACAGCUGUUUGCUGACACCCCUUCAAAUUUGUGUGCACAGGGCAGAAAUGCUUGAAUAAUUCAAGGUAGGGCUGGUUAGAGCUGACUUCUGGAUACUUCCUUUCUGUGAAAGCCAUCUCUUGUUAUUUAGAGAGGGAGCUGAUAGUGUUGCUAGCAGUUCGGAGCAGCUUUGCUCCCAGGCCAGUGCCAGAAAGCAGAUGUGUGAUGUGCCAUAUCCUUAACAGAUGGACAUGCCAUAUGCCAUUAAAAGUGCUUAUCCAAUUUUCUCUCACAUUGUGGGUGAACAGCAUCAAAACCUUAACAGGCAAAAAAAGAAAAAAGAAAAAAAAAAAAAGCAUUAGUUCCUUGGGGAGGUGAGUAACUCAAAGGAAGAUUUCCCAAGUGUCUUCCAGAGUUUUCCUCAGUGUUGAACACUUGUGUGCGUUUCAAGGGUCUGCGUGCCUGAGAGUUUGCUGUCCCCAUGUUCCUGGCGGUGGGAAGUGUCCUCUCCUACACACAGUCCUGGGAUUACACUAAUGCACGUCCAAGUCUGAGCUAAUUUACUUUGCCUUUCCCAAGGCAGGCCUGGAGCCAGGCUCACGUGGUCGUGGGGCAUCUGGAAUGACUUGGCGUACACUGUAGCUCCCAUCUUCAGAGAGCAAAGGCAAGGCUUGUACAAAUGAACAUGGAUGUGUAGCUGCACUCCAACUUUCUUACUGGAUGGAGUAGAGCAAUGUUCAAUGGCCCAAGAACAGCUACAGACACGAUUUGUGUUGGUUAGAUUGUGUUGGUACCCAGCUUGGAUGGGACACUUUCAGGCCAUACUCCAGAAGGAUAUAGGUACUGGGGUACUGGACCACUCCGGUGUUUUAGGCUUAUACAGUUUUAGACCCAUGAA